UACCACCCUUCAGCGUGCACGUUUCGAGCAUCGUAGAAAGCAAACCCGACUUUUGUUCUAGAGAUCUCUUCGACGACAAACCCAUGUUGCUCCAGAGCUCUUCAACGACAAAGUCGAUUCGGCGCCUCACCGUCGCACACCUCGCCUUCCCCUCGCCGUCGCACACCUCGCCUUACCUCGCCGCCGCACUCCUUACCAGAACUCGAAUCAAUGGUUCAUGGAUUGUUAAGCAGAGUGUGGGAAAGAAAGGGUGCCUCACUGGUUAGGCACUUGAAAUCAAUUAUUUCCAUCGGAAGAACUACUUGGAGGACGUUUGGGAGCAAGCUGAAAUUGAUAUCAUUGAGCACAAGACAAGAAUAAGCCUCCAUUUCCAUCCCCUAAAAGCAGCAUAAGAAAAUUAAACAAGCAUUUUCAUACAGCUGGAGGCUAUUUAGUUGUAUGGGCUUUUGCGGGUUUGGGCUGUGACUGGGUUGGUGGGUUUUGUUUGUGGUUGGGUUUUUCAGAUGGAUGGCGCCACGGGCAGGCCUAGCCUGCAACGAUGCCAGCGAGAAGAGAUGGGAAGAGAUGGGAGGUGUCGUGUGAUGCGAGAGAGAAGAGAGAGAGGAGUCGUCCGAUGGCAGAUAAGAGAGAGGGGUCGUGCGAUGCCAGAGAGAAGAGAGAGCAGGACUCCUGGAAGGAAAAAUUGGAGGAGAGAGGGAGGGGUAGGAUGAGCAAUGCAAUAGGUAGGGCUGCCCGGAAUUUGGGUUUUGUUUUUUCUUGGUGAGGUAUGCUUAGAGAAGCGGUGAGGCAUGAAGGGACGCCUAAACCGAGGGUUGGUUUCAGAGAUUUGGUUCCAACUGGAAGCUAUCUCUGCAAGCAUUGAUGAGGAUUUCUCCCAGCUGGCAGCUUCAAUUCCUUUCAAAUCUAGGAACUUGGAUCAUUGGACAGAGAACUUGGCCCAUUGGCUUUUGAGUUGGGAUGAAUGGGUAGGGUUGGAUCGUCUGAUGAAAAACACUGACGAGAAUAAGAAGAAAGCAUGAGUACCUCAACCAGAAACAGAGAACAGACAAGAAUGCAAAGCUAAUACACACAACACAUACUAAACUAAGAAGUUAUCAUGGUUGGGUUUAUCAUCUUUUAACAUUUCUUUUGUUGUUGCCCAAUCAUGAAAUUUGGAUUUAUUCUUGAAUGUUAGAUGUAGGGUGUGUAAUUCUGGCAUGUGACAUGAACCAUCCUAUUUUUGGGCGAGCUUUGAGGUUUAACGGUCAUACCCUUCAUAGGGGUAAAUAUAAUGGAUAUGGGAUACUGAAAAAGUAACAAUGUAGUUAACUAAUUUACCAACAUGCAUUCUUCAUUUAUGAUCAUAACUUGAAUACGGUUCUUGAAUUAGGAUGCCAAGAGGUUAGGUACUGAAAAUAUAUCCUGUUUUAUUAACUUCUCUUGCAAUUUGAAAGUGUAUAUAAUCUGCAUUGUUCUUACUGUUGGUAUGAAAUUAUGUAAAGCGUCAAGAGGGAAGAAGCGAAAGAAUGACUCUGUCUGUAAGAUGGGUUUCUGUAAUGCGAAUUUCGUGAGGUUCAUAACACUGAUUUGAUUCUCUCAUAAGAAAGGAUCUCCUCUCUGGCUUUCUAGGCCAAGUUGUCGAAGCUCUCUCUAGAGAGAAAGUGGCAGCAGUAGUGGGGAAGGAAGAAGGACCAUUCAUGUUUCUGUUAUCAUUUCUGCCAUUCGAAACUCUGGGGUUUGGCUUUGGCUCCGUUAGCUGUUGAGUUUGUCACGAAAUGAGUUCAACCAUGGAUUCGUAUACAUUGAAGUCUACAUCAGAUUUGUCUGCUCUCUGACCUGAUUGAGUGAGGGAGGAGGGAUAGAGCGCAUAGAGAAUAUGACGGAAAUUGAGGAGGAAGCCCAUGCUUGCAGAGAGUUAGUGAGAUCUGAAGCCCAUGCCUGGAUGAACUCAUUUAAUUUGAGCACACAGAGCUCAAAUCUGGUGUUCAAAAAUAAGGCGGAGGCCACGAAGUUCUCAAAUCCAAGAUGAAAAGUGUUUGGAGUUGGAGGCUUUUUGCUCUGUUGGGUUUUUUUCCAAUAACAAGAGCCGAAAGUGGUAUCUGGUUUGCAAGAAAUUGAGGAUAGGAUAAGAGAAGUGGAAGUGAGCCUGGUGCGAGAGGGUCUUAUCUCAAAGACUCAGAGAAGGCUGAGAUGUAUAAGAAGCACAAGGAAAUCCCUGAAGUUUAUACUGUUGAGAGGCUGGCUAAGGAUUAUAGGAUUAUAAGGCAGAGAGUGCAUGCUAUGCUUUGGCUUAAAGAGCUUGAGGGGGAAGAGAGGAGAAAAAGCUUGGUCGUCCUUUAGAUGAUUCUGUUGAGCUCCUGCUUGACACCUGCCCAGAAUUUUUUAAUUCUCAUGACCGCGAAUUCCACGUGGUAUCCCUUACCUACAAACCUGAUUUCAAGGUUAUGCCAGAGGGUUGGGACGAUACCACCGGAGAUUUGGAUGAAGUUCAUUGUGAAAUCUCAAAGAAGAAAAAUGAAAUGCUCUAUCAAGAGUUUGUCCAGAGAAUGAACUUCAACAAAAUGAAAUUACGCCUGAAACAGUGGUUCCCGCCGCAACGCGCGGGCUUAUUUUCUAGUCACUUCUAAAUGAGUUUUUUUUUUAUCUUUGUGCCACAUAGAAGCCACCACAACCAUCAUUGGCUGGUCAAAAAUGCCAAUGGUCACUUGCAGUAGUUGGUACACGUCAUGAACCAAUUUUCUCAAUUCAAGCAGCGCAGCAGCUUGUUUGCUGAACAUUUAUCAUGGCAACCAAAUUCUCCCAUCACUAAAAGUCAAGGCAAAUUUGUCACCUACCCUUCAACUUCACUGCAAUCAGCAAUCGCUUGGAGCUGCCCCCCACUUUAUUAUUUUCUCCCGUCAUCACACACGCUAGUGACUAGUUUACUGACUAGGACUGGGAAACAGAUUGAGAUCAAGUUCAAGUUAGUCUAACUAGUGAUACGAUGAAGCAAUGUUGAUCUUCAUUUGUAAGUUCGAGGUUCCGGGUUUGAUUCACAUUAAUAGCGAGAACAUAUUAUUUUUUGUGUUGAGUUUAAUAUUUAGGAAGUGGUUGACCCAUUGUGUGGCCUAAACCACCCACUUAAAUGCAAUAUAAUGUUGUAUCCAAAAAGUUCUUUUAGCCCCCCUCCCUUAGAAUAGAUUAUCCCCUUUAGAUGAAUCUUUCAUGCAACAGAAAUACUACCUCAAGUAAAUUGUAUAUUAUUGAAUGGAAGAACAAUAUGGUUAACCGCUAUCCAACUCAAUAGUGGUCUGUUUACUUACCAAGAA